GCUGGAGUAGUAUAAGCUAGUAUAGCUGGUUUUCGUUCGGCAGGCGGUUUUGUUAACCCUUCAGUU
rnacentral:tRNA from 1 species